rnacentral:rRNA from 1 species
AGUGAACGCUGGCGGUAGGCCUAACACAUGCAAGUCGAACGGCAGCACAGUAAGAGCUUGCUCUUACGGGUGGCGAGUGGCGGACGGGUGAGGAAUACAUCGGAAUCUACUUUUUCGUGGGGGAUAACGUAGGGAAACUUACGCUAAUACCGCAUACGACCUACGGGUGAAAGCAGGGGAUCUUCGGACCUUGCGCGAUUGAAUGAGCCGAUGUCGGAUUAGCUAGUUGGCGGGGUAAAGGCCCACCAAGGCGACGAUCCGUAGCUGGUCUGAGAGGAUGAUCAGCCACACUGGAACUGAGACACGGACCAGACUCCUACGGGAGGCCGCAGUGGGGAAUAUUGGACAAUGGGCGCAAGCCUGAUCCAGCCAUACCGCGUGGGUGAAGAAGGCCUUCGGGUUGGAAAGCCCUUUUGUUGGGAAAGAAAAGCAGCAGGUUAAUACCCCGCUGUUCUGACGGUACCCAAAGAAUAAGCACCGGCUAACUUCGUG